GACGAACGCUGGCGGCGUGCUUAACACAUGCAAGUCGAACGGAAAGGCCCUGCUUUUGUGGGGUGCUCGAGUGGCGAACGGGUGAGUAACACGUGAGUAACCUGCCCUUGACUUUGGGAUAACUUCAGGAAACUGGGGCUAAUACCGGAUAGGAGCUCCUGCUGCAUGGUGGGGGUUGGAAAGUUUCGGCGGUUGGGGAUGGACUCGCGGCUUAUCAGCUUGUUGGUGGGGUAGUGGCUUACCAAGGCUUUGACGGGUAGCCGGCCUGAGAGGGUGACCGGCCACAUUGGGACUGAGAUACGGCACAGAGUCCUACGGGAGGCAGCAGUGGGGAAUAUUGCACAAUAGGCGGAAGCCUGAUGCAGCAACGCCGCGUGCGGGAUGACGGCCUUCGGGUUGUAAACCGCUUUCGCCUGUGACGAAGCGUGAGUGACGGUAAUGGGUAAAGAAGCACCGGCUAACUACGUG
rnacentral:rRNA from 1 species